rnacentral:rRNA from 1 species
UGGGCGNAGCCUGAUCCAGCCAUGCCGCGUGAGUGAAGAAGGCCUUCGGGUUGUAAAGCUCUUUCGGCCGGAACGAAAUCGCCUCUUUUAAUACGGGGGGUGGAUGACGGUACCGGAAGAAGAAGCACCGGCUAACUACGUGCCAGCAGCCGCGGUAAUACGUAGGGUGCGAGCGUUAAUCGGAAUUACUGGGCGUAAAGCGUGCGCAGGCGGCUCUUUAAGUCAGAUGUGAAAGCCCCGGGCUUAACCUGGGAACUGCGUUUGAAACUGGAGGGCUGGAGUGUGGCAGAGGGAGGUGGAAUUCCACGUGUAGCAGUGAAAUGCGUAGAGAUGUGGAGGAACACCGAUGGCGAAGGCAGCCUCCUGGGUCAACACUGACGCUCAUGCACGAAAGCGUGGGGAGCAAACAGGAUUAGAUACCCUGGUAGUCCACGCCCUAAACGAUGUCGACUGGUUGUUGGGGAAGGAAACUUCCUUAGUAACGAAGCUAACGCGUGAAGUCGACCGCCUGGGGAGUACGGCCGCAAGGUUAAAACUCAAAAAAAUUGACGGA